rnacentral:rRNA from 1 species
GCGGACGGGUGAGUAACGCGUGAGAAUCUGCCUUCAGGUUCGGGACAACCACUGGAAACGGUGGCUAAUACCGAAUGUGCAGAGAUGUGAAAUAUUUAUAGCCUGAAGAUGAGCUCGCGUCUGAUUAGCUAGUAGGUGUGGUAAAAGCGCACCUAGGCGACGAUCAGUAGCUGGUCUGAGAGGAUGAUCAGCCACACUGGGACUGAGACACGGCCCAGACUCCUACGGGAGGCAGCAGUGGGGAAUUUUCCGCAAUGGGCGAAAGCCUGACGGAGCAAUACCGCGUGAGGGAGGAAGGCUCUUGGGUUGUAAACCUCUUUUCUCAGGGAAGAAAAAAAUGACGGUACCUGAGGAAUAAGCAUCGGCUAACUCCGUGCCAGCAGCCGCGGUAAUACGGAGGAUGCAAGCGUUAUCCGGAAUGAUUGGGCGUAAAGCGUCCGCAGGUGGCUAUGUAAGUCUGCUGUUAAAUAGUCUAGCUCAACUAGAUAAAGGCAGUGGAAACUACAUGGCUAGAGUGCGUUCGGGGCAGAGGGAAUUCCUGGUGUAGCGGUGAAAUGCGUAGAGAUCAGGAAGAACACCGGUGGCGAAAGCGCUCUGCUAGGCCGCAACUGACACUGAGGGACGAAAGCUAGGGGAGCGAAUGGGAUUAKAUACCCCAGUAGUCCUAGCCGUAAACGAUGGAUACUAGGCGUGGCUUGUAUCGACCCGAGCCGUGCCGUAGCUAACGCGUUAAGUAUCCCGCCUGGGGAGUACGCAGGCAACUGUGAACUCAAGGAAUUGACGGGGGCCCGCACAAGCGGUGGAGUAUGUGGUUUAAUUCGAUGCA